GAUGGAGACAAGCGAAGAGGGUGAGCUUAAAGCUUUUGAAAAUCAUCGACUGUGGCGGAUGUGGUCGAUCUAGGUGAUUUGUGAUUCUCUCUCUCUCUUAUCUCGUUUUAUAGUUCUAUUCUCCAGGUUACUAUUUAAUAAUAUAUAACAUUAGAAUAUAUUUAAGCAUAUUUAUUACAAUUUAUAAUAUUUAUUUGACAAGAUGAAACUCUGCUCGUGAUUCUUGAUUCGUAUACGUGCCUUGGCCAAAGGAGAUACUGAUAAUAAAAAAUCGUGGGAUAUAAAAUAAUUCAAACAAAUGCCGUGAACGAGGAGAGGCAGGAGGUAGGUUCGAGCUGCCGCGAUAUAUCCUGGGCUGGGCUUAUCCGUUGGCUGGUCAUUCAUAAACGAGGGAAAAAAUGACACUCUAACGGCUCGCUAUUCGUAACUGUUAGGAAGUGGGAGAGAUUUGUUGGCGUCGUACGUAACGACGGGAAAGGGAUUUUCUACGACGCGCGGAUGAUAACGUUCUAUCGAGGUACGUGAACCAACUACCGUCGCAUGUCUAUAAAUUAUCUCCCAUUAAUCAGUAUUUCCGAUAAUUCGGAGGAUCGCGAAAUUUCUUCGAUAGACGAACGGAUAUAGAGGAAGAAGAAAAAAUAGAAAAUGUGAUCGCAGAAAAUUUCGACGAGCUCGAAAAGUAAAAGAGAAUAAAGGUAGCUACGAGAGUGCCCUCUUGUGAGCUUCAUAUCGAAGUCCGGUCCACCCCCAUGGAGCAACGUCCCGGGGGUGUGAUCGCUGCUAACUAAACUUGUAAAUCUCUCUCUUUCUCUUUCUCCCUCUCCCUCCCUCCCCCUCUCUCUCUCUUGAUCCAGGCCUCCCUAGACUGACCAGAACGCAUUUGUCUGUCUUACACUCUCGGUGUAAAUACACGGUGUCGUAGGAGUCCCUGGAAAUUAGACGCGUUCCAUUACGGAUGUUACACUUCUCGCUUUCCAAUUGGAAAAUUAAAGAUAACACGAUAUGUACGUUGAAGUUGGUCAAAAUGUGUUACGAAGCAAAAUAACGUCGGUCUUUCUCGUUCGUCCUUCGCGAAAUCAUCCUUCUCUAGACCAUAAACUUUGAUGUACGAAUCUCCGUCGAGACACAUAAAGGCAGUUUGCGCGAAACGAUCUUGGGAUUCGAGUAGGUGGAGGAGCAGUCGAGAAAGCAAGGAACGUGGCAAGGUCUAGGGCGAUAUCAGAAACAAAAGGUUCGCAAACGAGAAGUUACGAGGGAUCUUUUAUGCCUCGCUUGUCUCGCGUAUUAUUAUGACGGAUGUCGUGGUUAAGCGUUUCUACGUAACGCGAUUCCGCGACUUUAGACUCUCAUGUUGCCGCGAGAACGGCCGCGAUACUCACGUGUGUAUCGUACUGGAUAUAGGAGUUGCCUCGAUGAACUUGAAUAUAUCACGAGGGAUGGUUAUGGGACGCAACGUGCGUGCGAGUGGCUGCGCGACGAUCCUUCUCCCGCUCGCAAAUCAAACCACCACGACGAUCCUUCUCCCUUAUACAGGUUUAGUCCGAGCGGACUAUCGGAGCCGUUCGAUAUUCUCGUUGAGAGAGUUAGUGAGUGCGUUCGAAGAAAGUGUUCGACAAAUGUGCAUCAACGAGGAAGAUCGUCGAUUAGAUCUCCGACGGGGAAUCGGAGAUAAAAAGAUGAUGAUGGACGUGAGCAAGAAUGAACCAAGUAGUAAAAACGGGGCGACUCAGCAAGAAUGUGCUGGUUGUGGCAAGACUAUCACGGAAAGGUAUUUAUUGAAAGCCUUGGACUUGUACUGGCACGAAGACUGUUUGAAAUGUGGUUGCUGCGAUUGCAGACUAGGAGAGGUCGGUUCUACGCUUUAUACAAAGGCCAAUUUAAUUCUCUGCAAAAGAGAUUACUUGAGGCUCUUUGGAAACACCGGCUACUGUGCGGCAUGUAACAAAGUCAUACCAGCGUUCGAGAUGGUAAUGAGAGCAAGAACUAACGUCUAUCAUCUGGAAUGUUUUUCCUGUCAAGAAUGCGAUCACAAGCUACGAACCGUCGUUACGAGCUCGUUAAGGAUGAAGUUUUGCACAGCUCAUCAGAAGGGUAGAAGGAUGCCCAAGGGCCAGUCUCCAGUCGGACGGCCUUCCACUUUUCGAGGGUGGAGGAUGGAUUCGAAGUCCCAAGGGUGAAAUGGCUCAUUCCGACGCACUUAUCCGGCACACGCCGUAGAUAACCAUAGAUUAAUGGGGCUAGGAGACUCGGAAGGCGGCGGAAGAGUAGUGAGAGCUAGAGAGAGAGAGAGAGAGAGAGAGACAAAGAGAUAGUUCUGCUAAAGUAAAUGGAAGAAAAGGAAAGACGGAAUGGGAUCUAUAAGAGACCAAGAAGAUUUUGCGUGGGCGAUCAGUUUUAUCUCUAUGAGAAUAAAAUUCUCUGCGAGUAUCAUUACAAGGAGAGAGUCUAUUUCGCCAACAUGCCGCAUCCUCCGCCGAACGAUACUUUAGCGCAUAUUAAAAGACA